rnacentral:rRNA from 1 species
UCUUGGUCAUUUAGAGGAAGUAAAAGUCGUAACAAGGUCUCCGUUGGUGAACCAGCGGAGGGAUCAUUACUGAGUUAUCCAACUCCCAAACCCCUGUGAACAUACCUAUGUUGCUUCGGCGGGCCGUCCCGCGGCGCGCCCACGUGGCGUGACCCGGACCCAGGCGCCCGCCGGGGAACCAAACUCUUGUCUUCGAGUGCCUCCUCUGAGUGGCAUAAGCAAAAAUAAACAAAACUUUCAGCAACGGAUCUCUUGGUUCUGGCAUCGAUGAAGAACGCAGCGAAAUGCGAUAAGUAAUGUGAAUUGCAGAAUUCAGUGAAUCAUCGAAUCUUUGAACGCACAUUGCGCCCGCCAGUAUUCUGGCGGGCAUGCCUGUCUGAGCGUCAUUUCAACCCUCAGCCCCCGUUCGCGGGGCGCUGGCGUUGGGGCCCGGCCGUCCUCGCGGCGGCCGUCCCCGAAACACAGUGGCGGUCUCCCGCAGACUCCCCUGCGUAGUAGCACUACCUCGCAGAAGGGACGAGCGGGCUGGCCACGCCGUAAAACACCCCACUUCUCCAGGUUGACCUCAGAUCAGGUAUGAAUACCCGCUGAACUUAAGCAUAUCAAUAAGCGGAGGA